GGGGCGGCGCGGACACGAGCAAUUCCCCGCAAAAUUCCAGACAUCUUGAUCCUCUGAAAUCGAAUGUGUGUAAUGAACAGGAAGAUGUAAAGGACACCGGAAUGUGCGGCAAGACUGCAGCAGGCGCUCAUGGUAAUGUUUUAGAUGCUGACCAUCUCAGACAGACUCUUUCAGGAGGACACAGCUGGGAUCCUUCAUUUCCAAAUCCUCUUUUUCAGGCUUUCUGAACUGUUGCUGCUGAGAAGCUGCCAUUGAGGAUGUGUGUAGCGUCUGCAGCGUUCCGGUUUGCCGUUUGUGCCCAAGGGCACAGUGGCCCGCAGCAUGUCCCCAGCUCUCAUGGAGGACAUUGAAAUGUUUGCGUGGGGGGCGCAGUGGUGCGGUGGCACUGCUGCCACAAAA